AACGAACGCUGGCGGCAGGCCUAACACAUGCAAGUCGAACGCUGUAGCAAUACAGAGUGGCAGACGGGUGAGUAACGCGUGGGAACAUGCCCUUCGGUUCGGAAUAACUCAGGGAAACUUGAGCUAAUACCGGAUACGCCCUUAGGGGGAAAGAUUUAUUGCCGAAGGAUUGGCCCGCGUCCGAUUAGCUAGUUGGUGAGGUAACGGCUCACCAAGGCGCCGAGCGGUAGCUGGUCUGAGAGGAGGAUCAGCCACACUGGGAAUGGAACACGGCCCAGACUCCUACGGGGGGCAGCAGUGGGGAAUAUUGGACAAUGGGCGCAAGCCUGAUCCAGCCAUGCCGCGUGAGUGAUGAAGGCCCUGGGGUUGUAAAGCUCUUUCGCCAGGGACGAUAAUGACGGUACCUGGAUAAGAGGCCCCGGCUAACUUCGUGCCAGCCGCCGCCGUAAGAC
rnacentral:rRNA from 1 species